UGGGCUAUCGCCAAGCGGUAAGGCAACGGACUUUGACUCCGUCAUUCGUUGGUUCGAAUCCAGCUAGCCCAG
rnacentral:tRNA from 2 species